ensembl:lncRNA
UUCUUUGUGUGUGGGUGUGUGUGUGUAAGUGAGUGUGUGAGAAAGACAGAGAGAGAGACUCACAUUAAUAAAUGCCAUACAGUUGUUGUUAAUGUAAUUUAAUAUAAUUAAUGUUAAUAACUGAAACCUUAUUGGAAGUGUUACUCAAGUUUUAUAUAUUGUGUUGUGUGUGUCGCUUGAUGGUUUGGAUUAACCCUUUCAUUGCUGUAUCCCUUAAAUCCAAACUGCUAAAUUAAGUGUGCCCAAUCCUGUUCCUGGCGAUCGACUGUCCUGAAAAGUUCAGAUCCAACUCUAAUCAGUCACACCUACCUUUAAUUUUCAAGCAAUCCUGAAGACAUUAAUUAGUUGCUUCAGGUGUGUUUGAGUAGGGUUGGAGCUAAACUUUGCAGGACAGUCGAUCGCCAUCAACAGGGUUGGACACCCCUGUGCUAGAGGGUUAUUGUGUAUGUCUCCACUGGGCACACUUUGACUGAUGGCACCGGGGUGGCGUUUGCGCUGACGGCUCGGGCCCGCCAUCGCUGCUUGCAGCUAUAUUUAGGGCUCAAGCCUGGAGGGCGAGAGCCCUAUUGUUUUCCUUAGGAUUAUUUUUUAUUAUUAUUAUUAUUAUUAUUUUUUUUUUCCAACGUCUCGGGGGCUUUUGGGGCCCUUAACAUACUCGAAAACUCUUGAAAAUUGGCACACACAUUGGAACCUGCGGCCAUUAGGGCCGGGCAGAGACUGAUACACGGGCGUGGCACAGGGGCUCUACAGCGCCCCCUGGAAUAUUGAGGGCCAUAUAUCAUGCAUACUUGCACGUAUACAUAUGAAACUCGGUACACAUGUAGAUCUCAUCAAACCAAACAACUUUCGCACUGCAUGUCAUAAGCUCCGCCCAACAGGAAGUUGGCUAUUUAGGGUUUUGUGAAAAACACAUGCUCUGGAAUUUGAUAUACUCCUCUGAGGAACUCCACCCGUUUGCCACAAAACUCGGUGAACAUGAUCU